UCCAACAAUGCCGUGGAAAGUGCUGAAACUUGUUCCUUGUCAAGUUGUUUUGUAGUUUUGGGUUAGGUUUUUAUAUAGGAUUCCAGAAUGAGCUACACAGAGGCUGGUCUCCGCAUCAACAGAAUGUGGCAACCACAUUAGGGUCUUUGGGUCUUUCUCUCCUAAGAAUACGUGCUUUGAGCUUUGAGUAUUUCAGGAGAGAUCAACCCAGGGACUUUUGUGUGCUUGCCUGAAGGUAGCCCUGUUCAAGCCCAAGUGUUUCAGGAGAAAACAAAAAUUUGAAGGGCUUCAAGUGCUAGCCCUUCAUUGUUAGGUUUGCUAAUUAAAUUCAUUUCUGUUAACGCGGUGACACAGUUUGAGUAGUGACAAGAGUGGUAUAGAUGGUUGAUUACUCUCCUGAGCUCGACUCUGCGGGGCAAGCUGCCCCUGCAUCGACACAGAUGCCAUCACACUUAUGAAAUGAUCAAUCUAUUAUUUUUCCUAGGUUUUGUUCACACACCCAGCGCGUGAAUCCUAAGACACCUACAGAUAGGCUACCACAGCUUGGAGCAUCCAUGAUAGUUCACUCCCAAAUGUUGUAUUCGUAAAGACGAUGUCGAUAGAAUUGUGAUUUUCAUCUCACCGUUCCAACAGUAUUGACCAGAAGUUAGCCACUAAUUAACACCAUCAGUGAAGCAAGGUUACAUUAUCUCUAUUAAUGAGGCUCUUUGGGUCUUGCCUCUGUUGCUCAAUUCAUUUGUUGUAAAAAUCAAGAGAGAUAAGCUCAGGGACCUUUGAGUGCAUGACUGAAUAUCACAUUCCGAACUCAUAGUUUCUAGAGGUACCGGAGAUUCUAAUAUUUAACCAGCGUCUGUGACUGCGAAUUACAUAGAUUGGUGAGAACCAUGCAGACUGCAUGUUUUUAUAUUGAAACAGCGACGUGAAUUCAUCCAAAGAGGACCUCAUGUACUUGCCGUGGCUUUUGGAAGCCUCUAAUGAACCGAUAACGACAUUCCUGAAAGAUACUUUUAAAGCGAAGGUUAGUAUUCCCCUCUACCAUGUCAUUGUUACUUCGACGUUUGAGUAUACCACCUGCCUAGUAAUGGUGACCACGGGCUGCGCAAAGGAACGGUUGCUGCAGUCCUCGACUGUUCUUUAUGCGGUUUGGGAGAUCGGCGAGUUUGUGUUUGUCAUGCACUCCGUUGAAGAUUAAAUUGAUUCUAGAGGAGCGGUGGGAGUUUGAUACUUUUAAAGAAAGAGAGUGCCACGGUCCGCUAAGUUGUCACAUGAUUUGACCAUUCUUCGCAAGCGCCGCAGUGUUCUCUUCACUGAGAAUAAACUCCGCUGAGCUUUCCAAUGGAGACGACGAUGGAGGAGCCUCCGAUCGAGGCAAGAUGAGAGGAAGUUCAUGUGGUGUCAGAAGCUUAGGCUCAAGACUAUGUGCAAGGUUCUUCACGUUUUGUAUAUAUCUUUGUAUCCCAGUGUACGGUAGAUCCUGUGAGGAAUUACAGCUUAUGCAUUUCAAUCAUACGUGAAGCUAUCGUCCACGACUCCCACGGAAUUUGAGCAAGCAGCGGUGAUCAGGGAGUAUUCCAGUCCACUUGGACAUCACCGCUUAGUUUAGAAGCUGCUGUUGCUAUGGUUCCUGAUCACACAGUGCACUUUCUGUGAACAAUCAGAGUCCACCUCCAUCAUGCUUCGUGCUUGAGAACCCAUUCCAAAUAAGAGUUGCCACCUCAUAAGGGUUGCUAUGUUCUCAACCUUCGUAAACCUUGCUAUCACUGCAGCACUUGGACUGGAAAUCUUAUCGAACUCUAGCCUCCACCGUUUUGGACACUCUAGUAUGUGACGAGGCAGAAAAACUAGCAUUUCUAGAUCCUUCUACAUCGAACCCAUAUCAAAAAGUUGUAUCAAUGGAUAAAGCAUCAACAUCGAUCCACCACUUCACGUCGAGUAUCAGCAGAAGUGCUGUAGCAUGCAGUCAAGCUCACACAAAACUUAGUUGUAAACUGGACACUGAGUGGCAUCAAUCCUAAAUGUGAACAUAAUUUUAAGGUGGAUUAUACUGGGUUCAUCUACGAGAGAUUUCUUUGCAUGUGACACCGGCAUUUUUUUACAAAGUGCAAGGGCUUUUGAAUUAGUGAGACUUGAGUAGCAUCUGGGUGUGAGUAAGUUUACAAAGGACAACACUGCGACACUUGGGUGGGGAGGAUUUGCUUCAGUUUUGUACUAGUUUCAGAAACUUAUCAAAUAGCAGUGAUUUUCUAUUAAUAAACAUAAGGUGAGGUAAUUAGUGGAAUGGUGGUAGGAAGACCCAAUGAGAAGUGAUAAAUCAAACAAAUAGGGAUAUUAAAAUAUAUAUAAGAAUAAAUGCAUUUGUAAUAGUUAUCUUAUGCUAGAAUACUGUGCUAUUACAUAUAUAUUCAAUAGUAUCUGUGUUUCUCUUGA